UACGUAGGCAGCGAGCGUUGUUCGGAGUUACUGGGCGUAAAGAGUGCGUAGGCGGUUUUCUAAGUUUGGUGUGAAAUCUCACGGCUUAACUGUGAGCGUGCGGGCGAUACGGGCAGACUGGAGUACUGCAGGGGAGACUGGAAUUCCUGGUGUAGCGGUGGAAUGCGCAGAUAUCAGGAGGAACACCGGUGGCGAAGGCGGGUCUCUGGGCAGUAACUGACGCUGAGGAGCGAAAGCGUGGGGAGCGAACAGG
rnacentral:rRNA from 1 species